rnacentral:lncRNA from 1 species
GACAAAAGUUGCUGACGUGUUUGAGAGAGAGAUUUUGCUUAACAAAAUUUCAUUUAAGUGUAAUUUAAAUUUUAAACAACUCUCUACAAUAAAAAGGAUAACAUAGACAUUUAGUAGUCAUUAAGCACUUCAUGCAACAAACAUUAUUAGUGGUCCAGCACUUAAUUAAGUGUUGUAUUCAGCAUUUGUAUUAAGUUCAAUUAAGUGUACAAGUGAUUAAGCAGCGUAUUCAGCCA